CUCCGCUUGGUGUAGUUGGUGUACGUUCUAUUCCCUCUACCACACUCACAACAACAUCAGUCUAACAUUCAUCUAGUUAUCACGUUCGACUGUAAAUCGAAAGGUCCCUAGUUCGAUUCUGGGAGCGGAGA
rnacentral:tRNA from 1 species